GGUAUAAAAGAGAAGCUCAACAUCCAAAGAGCAACACUACAGCCUCUUCUCUUGUCUCUGAGAAAACCUACUGAAGGUAAAAUCACUGCAGCCAUGCUGAAGGUCGCACUUAUUCUUGGAUGCCUCCUGAGCCUCAUUGUGGCUGAGACUAUGGAGCACCAGCGUUUUGCUCGUUCAAGCUCUGGUUCUAACUCCAGAGAGACCACCACAACUACGGCUGCAGGAGCAACUGCAGCUUCAUUAACUCUGGCCCAGCUCCUGGCCCUGCUCCGACAACUACUCAAUCAGUGAUGAUGAAGUUCAUUGGCUGCUCUUUUAACCAGAUGCCGUUUAUUCACCCAACAAUUGGACAAAUAUCAUUUUCCACCAAGUUCUGACUAAAAAUAAACAUUUUCAAUGCAAA